UCUUUAAUGGAUAUUAUAAGACUUCAAUAAAUGACAAUAUGAACUCUAUUGACAGACCAGGAUGCAUACAGCAAAGUUUGGGAGAAAGCACAAUUGCAGAGGGGAGCACAGAGAGGCAGAAAUGACUGAAUCACCCUGCAGUAAGAAAAAGGAGGCAUGUUUGAGAGACUUGAGCAGAGAAGGACAUCAAUAAGGCUGCCACGGGAACUGGGCCACUAGACUGACCACCACAGCAGAUAAACCAGCCCAGCUCCAGGAAUGCAGAGGCAGGGACUGCACAUGUGUCUGUGUCAAAGGUCUGCACCAAAGAGCAGACAUCCCAGCAGAUAACCCAUGCAAACUGGCUCCCCAAGAGUGAAAUUGUAACAGGGUGGUCCCCAGGAAAGGGGGAGGUUCCAGGUUCCCACCCCACCCAAGGGAGGGUGGAGCUGAGCAGGGAGAGAAGAAGCUGCAGGGGAGACUGAGGAAGGAAGGAAGCAGGAUGGAGCCAGGAGGAGACCGGUAGGAGGCACGUGGAGCUGAGAGACGCAUGAAGAAACUGCUCUUGCCUUUUGGUCGUGGACUGGGUGACACAGAUGUGGGCGAGAGACCUGUGGGGAGGUGACAAUGGCAGUUUUUGUCUUGCUUUUGAUUUUGCUCUUUUCCUUCCAGGCUUGUCUGGUGGUUUCUGAUCCUUUUCUGUGGGUCCCCACUGGAAGAUGCCUUAGACCUGUGGCAGGCUUUGGGGCCUUAUUCCGGACCAAUCCCUUUGGAUGGACUUUUACCCAUGAGGCGACGGGUUACUUUGGGUACUUUAUUUAGAAACUAUAGAGACACAGUGGGUGGGGAGAGGGCAAGGAGAGGAAGGACUAGAGUCAAAAUAAGGUGGGGGUGCAAUUGUAUUGGGGAUAUAACCAAAAUGAAAAUGCAUACAUUGUGCAAAGAUGAAAAAUGA